UACGUAGGGUGCAGGCGUUAAUCGGAAUUACUGGGCGUAAAGCGUGCGCAGGCGGCUUCCUAAGUCAGAUGUGAAAUCCCCGGGCUUAACCUGGGAACUGCGUUUGAAACUGGGAGGCUGGAGUGCGGCAGAGGGGGGUGGAAUUCCACGUGUAGCAGUGAAAUGCGUAGAUAUGUGGAGGAACACCGAUGGCGAAGGCAGCCCCCUGGGCCUGCACUGACGCUCAUGCACGAAAGCGUGGGGAGCAAACAGG
rnacentral:rRNA from 1 species